rnacentral:rRNA from 1 species
GUGGGGAAUCUUAGACAAUGGGCGCAAGCCUGAUCUAGCCAUGCCGCGUGAGCGAUGAAGGCCUUAGGGUUGUAAAGCUCUUUCAGCUGGGAAGAUAAUGACGGUACCAGCAGAAGAAGCCCCGGCUAACUCCGUGCCAGCAGCCGCGGUAAUACGGAGGGGGCUAGCGUUGUUCGGAAUUACUGGGCGUAAAGCGCACGUAGGCGGAUCAGAAAGUCAGAGGUGAAAUCCCAGGGCUCAACCUUGGAACUGCCUUUGAAACUCCUGAUCUUGAGGUCGAGAGAGGUGAGUGGAAUUCCGAGUGUAGAGGUGAAAUUCGUAGAUAUUCGGAGGAAGACCAGUGGCGAAGGCGGCUCACUGGCUCGAUACUGACGCUGAGGUGCGAAAGCGUGGGGAGCAAACAGGAUUAGAUACCCUUGUAGUCC